AGCCUUAAUUUCCAUGCAUAUGUCGAAAUCUCUAUCUUUCCUUUAUGAUUUUUUUUUUCAAUCAGAUAAAUAGGUUGCAUUCUUAGGUAGAAAUGUCUCAAUUGAGUGCCGUUGAUGUUGCUUUAUUUGCUUGUAUGCCUCUUUGGCUGACUUCUUAUCUUGUAACUCUGAUCGGAAGUUUUCAUCAGGGGAGUAUUUCACUUGAACUGAUUUAAAAUGAAUGGUUUAUAGUUUUCUGGACUGUGAUCUCCAUAUUAGUAUAUUAUGGAUUGAUUUUUUGCUUUUAGGACACAUUUUUUAUGGAGAAUAUGUUAACCAGGAUAUGUUAUUAGUUUGCCUUUUGAAUCUGAUCAUGGGAUUCUGUUUGUCUUAUUUUUAUGUCAUAACUUCAAAUGUGCUUAUAAAUACUUAGAUGGUCAUCUAUUGUUAUUUGUCAUUCAUUCCAGCAUGCGUGCAACUAUGCAAGGUUACUGCAUCAUAUGUUAGGAAGUAUUUGGGGUUCUAACUUCCUUAAUUCCAAAGAUGUUCACUUGGAAAAUUUUGGUUCCUUAGUAACGUGUUUAGUUGUAGCUAACAGAAUGAUCGUCUGUCUGUGCAUGGUAAGCUUGUACUUUAGUAGUUUUUACAGGAAUGGUUCUAGAGCUAAAAUCUUAGUGAGUUAUUUUCAUUCUGAUGCAUGGGAUGGAUACAUUUGAGUGCCAUCAUUGAAUAACAAUGGCCAUGUAAUUAUCUUCUUUUAUUAGGUAAAAUGAACAUGCCAGUAUUAGCACUGUAUUUGCUCUUGUUGGCCAAUUCAUAUCUUCAACUUGGAGAGUGUAUAUUUUCCGACUUGGUUGUUACAUUUAAAUUGUUAUAAGAAAGGGUUUCCCAGUUGACAAUUCCCUCUAUUUUCUGUGUCUGAGGCAGAGGUCUCUCAUUCCAUACUCUUGGUUGAUAUUAUGUUGUCUGUACUAUCAUAUUGUGAAUGACGGGUGAUAACUUGGAAGAAACAGUCUGCAUCGAGUAUUCGUAACAGCCAAUCUUUGUUUGUAUUAACAGUGCUGGGAGUGA